UUACUAUAGCUUGACACUGAACAUUGAGCCUUGAUGUGUAGGAUAGGUGGGAGGCUUUGAAGUGUGGACGCCAGUCUGCAUGGAGCCGACCUUGAAAUACCACCCUUUAAUGUUUGAUGUUCUAACGUGGACCCGUGAUCCGGGUUGCGGACAGUGUCUGGUGGGUAGUUUGACUGGGGCGGUCUCCUCCUAAAGAGUAACGGAGGAGCACGAAGGUUGGCUAAUCCUGGUCGGACAUCAGGAGGUUAGUGCAAUGGCAUAAGCCAGCUUGACUGCGAGCGUGACGGCGCGAGCAGGUGCGAAAGCAGGUCAUAGUGAUCCGGUGGUUCUGAAUGGAAGGGCCAUCGCUCAACGGAUAAAAGGUACUCCGGGGAUAACAGGCUGAUACCGCCCAAGAGUUCAUAUCGACGGCGGUGUUUGGCACCUCGAUGUCGGCUCAUCACAUCCUGGGGCUGAAGUAGGUCCCAAGGGUAUGGCUGUUCGCCAUUUAAAGUGGUACGCGAGCUGGGUUUAGAACGUCGUGAGACAGUUCGGUCCCUAUCUGCCGUGGGCGCUGGAGAACUGAGGGGGGCUGCUCCUAGUACGAGAGGACCGGAGUGGACGCAUCACUGGUGUUCGGGUUGUCAUGCCAAUGGCACUGCCCGGUAGCUAAAUGCGGAAGAGAUAAGUGCUGAAAGCAUCUAAGCACGAAACUUGCCCCGAGAUGAGUUCUCCCUGAGACUUAGAGUCUCCUGAAGGAACGUUGAAGACGACGACGUUGAUAGGCCGGGUGUGUAAGCGCAGCGAUGCGUUGAGCUAACCGGUACUAAUGAACCGUGAGGCUUAACCUUACAACGCCGAAG
rnacentral:rRNA from 1 species